CCGCAGAAACAAAGAAUCUGGUUCUCAUGCACUCUUGUAAUUAAAAAGAAAAAAACUGCAGCAAAACUGCUCCCACAUGGGAUGGUUUACAAUUUUCAAUUAUCUGUUAGCAGCAUUUUUAAGAAGCCUUUAACGCAGGCUCACUGUGGAUCACUGAGCCACACCAGUUUGUGUUUCAGGACAGGAGGUGGUCAGGGAAUGAGUGACCAGGCUGCCUUCCACCAGCCCGCAAGGCGAAUUCCUGCCAGCUAAAAAAACACAACAAAAAAACCACACUUUCCUCCCUGCCGUGCUGCAGCCAUGGUAGGCCCAGGAUAUUAGAGAGGAGGUGGGCAAGGCGAUAGAGUCCUGCACUUUUGAAAGAAGUUAUUGGAGCAAGAAGCAGCAAGAGCAUGUACAGUAUUUCAUGUGACCAUUAUCUUGUAUCUAGGUCUCUUUGUACAAGGCAGCAUUCCAACUCACAAGUAAAAGACUCAUGGUCUCUGCUAACUUGAAGUGGAAGUGACCCUCCUCCGUGGAUGUAACAAGUGCCACCUCACAAGCUGACUGGAGACACACCAUUUAGCCAUCACUCUAGCCCUGCUGCCCCAGUGGAUCAACACCACAACAAUCCGUGAGUUCUGUGAGCUGUGUCCAAACUUGGGGAAAUGAGGGGUGCCUUACCCAGCUCUCUCAAACCUCCUUAUUGGCCAUCCUCCUUGGAAAUGAUUCAAGCAAGCAUGUGCAAUUAAAAUAGUGCAUGAAAUUGACGGCUAACCUUUCUCUUAAAUUAGUUUUCAAAGACAGAAACCUGCGGUCCAAAAUAUAGUUUCCAGGAGGGAUGCACCAUUUGAUCUUUCCCAAGCAAAGUCUUCUAAGAAAAUUAAAAAGAAAGAGGUGGCCUGUCUUUAUGGGAAAGAGCAAUGAGCCCAAACCAUCCCCACAUGCUGGUAAUUGCCUUCAGUGAAAUUAAGAGAAAGGUGAUGAAGUGAAAGCCAAAUAGUUUUUCCUCAGCCUCUCUGUAUCUGGACUCUACAAACCUAUGAGGAGGUCUGUUUUGUUCAAGGAGCAUCAACUUCAGGGUUAUGCUUGACCUAGGGAAGCUGGGAAAUGUUUACUCCUCUGCCCUUGCACAGUCUCUCUCACUAUUAACUAAAUAUUUUGCUGCUCAAGGCAAUCCUCCUUUCAGCCUGUAGGAGAGUCAGCGAAAUGAGUUCUGUGACUUUGGCUUCUGGAUCCACAUCACACAGAGAGAUACUAAAAAUUAAGUUUGAAUGUCUCUGGCUCUCGCUCUGAUGGUCCAGUUUUCAACAGGAGGUUGCCCUCAUGCUAACAAAAAAAUGACCCUGUGACUGGGCCUGAAAAUACUGCCAAGGGCGUGUUCAUAGUGGUGCAAACUGUUAAUUAGACACCUGUGUAAAUGUCUGAAUAUGCAUUCAUCCAAUUUGCACACGAUACAGCAGUAAAUGCAUGCACUGUAGGAGGUGCAGUUUAUUCUUUUGUUUUGGCACACAGAUCUUUGCUUCUUCCCUGUUAAAAAUUGGUAUUUUUUUUCAUCAGAUUAAAAUAGGAAAGGUUUGUUACCUGACCA